AUUCGGACAUUUAAAACCCUUACCUAAGCUCUUGAAAACCGUGAGUUUACCGAACGAUAAAUAAAACAUCAAUGACGCGUGUAUAAAAUAAACAUUAAACGUUUUCUGGCUUUUGGAAGGACUAAAAAUAUUACGCCCAUAGUGGUUUAUGUUGUCAUAUUAUCGACAAUGUGAUUUAUUAUGUUCAUUAAUUGCACACAUUCGAGAGUCGAGCUGACGGGUGGAAAAUAUCAUAUUAUACAGGAUAAGAAAUCGUUUAGUUCAAUUAUUAUAAUAU